GGGAGUUCGAGACCAGCCUGACCAACAUGGAGAAACCCCGUCUCUACUAAAAAUACAAAAUUAGCCUGGUGUGGUGGUGCACGCCUGUAAUUCCAGCUACUCAGUCGGCUGAGGCAGGAGAAUCGCUUGAACCUGGGAGGCAGAGGUUGCCGUGAGCCAAGAUCGCGCCAUUGCACUCCAGUUAAUGUGAAGUCCUUACUGGCUCACAAGGGCUCCCCCAGUCUGGCUCCCGUCUUCUCUUCCGUCCUGUUACAGAGCCUUGCACUGAUUCACCAAAUUCAUGGUACCCCACUUUCUUUCUACCCCUCCCCACCAGUACGACUAGCUUAUUGCCACGCAGGACCUCUGAGACUGCUGUCUCGUGUGCUUGGAGCCCACAUCCCUAUGAUAGUGAGCUUCAUGGUAUUUAUUGCUCAGUGGCUCCAAGUGAGCUGCGAGGCCCAGGGGACUGGAAGUGUAAUGAAUCCUUGCUUUAUGGAGGAUGGGUCUCAUCUUCAAGUCUGAAGACAGACUCCCUGCAGGCAAAGGGAGAUUUCUUGUCCCUUUACAGUAGUUCAUCUGCAUCUGUUUCCUUCCAUCUCUGCUUCUUAGUCCCAAAUGGUGAAAUCCCUGGAUAGCAAAGCUCCUGGUUCUCAACUUCAUUCAUGUAAAAAAUUCCUCAUAUAAGAAAGGUUCUUGGUGUCCAGAUUUCGGCAUGGCUAGCAGGACACUCUCUACUAAGUAUCAUGUGUCAGAGGCUUCAGUCCCAAGGAGGAAUUCAGGUACUUGGGAAUUCAAAUCUACAACCUGUUCUUCAAGCAUUUUGAUUUCCCUUUCAGUGUCACAUUGGAUUCAACCAGCUCAUUUUGGGGAGGAGAGAAAAGAUUCUUAAUAGCCAGGUUCCCCUUUAGGACUGGAAUCCAAGGAAGAAGGGAUUUGGGCCUCGAUGGAACCCUGUGCCAGUCUAAAUAGCAACAACAAAAAUAAUAUGAGAUGGUUUUCAAAAUAAAAGCUGAAUCUUUGAAAAGACUCUAUGUAUAUCAUAGACCUGCAUGACACAAUAUGGUAACACGACUAUUUACAUUCAAAUUAGUUAAAAUGCAACAAAAUGUUUAACUCAGUUUCUCAGUCACACUAGUCAUAUUUCAAGGAGCUCAACAGCCACACUGAGCUAGUGGCUAGUGCUACAGUAUUGGACAAUGCAGGUCUGUUCAUAUCAUACACUGUAGAUAAUAGAUUUCCAUUGUUGCAGAAAAUUCUGUUGACAUCUCCUCUGUAGUCUAAUCAUUGUCCAGGUUAAACAAGAAAAAGGAAGGAGAAAAGAUACAAAAUGCUUCCUUGGGAAGAAAAAUGGGGGCAUAACUAUAGAUACAAAGAGACUUUUUACGUUAAAAGAUAUUAUGAGUAACUUUGUGCCAAUAUAUUUAAAAAUUAGAUACAAUUUUCUGAAAAAAAUUCUAAACUUACUCAAAAUUAAAUAGAAAGCCAACCUAAAUAUAUCAGUAACCACUAAAAGGACUAAAUCAGUAGCUAAAAUAUGACCCCCACCCCCUUUCUUCAAAAAAAAAAAAAAAAAAAAGCACC
rnacentral:lncRNA from 1 species